UUGGAGGGCAAGUCUGGUGCCAGCAGCCGCGGUAAUUCCAGCUCCAAUAGCGUAUAUUAAAGUUGUUGCAGUUAAAAAGCUCGUAGUUGAAUUUCGGGGUUAGUAGGUUGGUCAUGCCUCUGGUAUGCACUGGUCUCACUGAUUCCUCCUUCCUGAUGAGCCGUAAUGCCAUUAAUUUGGUGUUGCGGGGAAUUUGGACUGUUACUUUGAAAAAAUUAGAGUGUUUAAAGCAAGCUAACGCUUGAAUACAUUAGCAUGGAAUAAUGAAAUAGGACGUUCGAUCCUAUUUUGUUGGUUUCUAGGAUUGACGUAAUGAUUAAUAGGGAUAGUUGGGGGCAUUAGUAUUCAAUUGUCAGAGGUGAAAUUCUUGGAUUUAUUGAAGACUAACUACUGCGAAAGCAUUUGCCAAGGAUGUUUUCAUUAAUCAAGAACGAAAGUUAGGGGAUCGAAGACGAUCAGAUACCGUCGUAGUCUUAACCAUAAACUAUGCCGACUAGGGAUCGGAUGAUGUUAAUUUUUUAAUGACUCAUUCGGCGCCUUACGGGAAAC
rnacentral:rRNA from 2 species